GUGUCAGCAGCCGCGGUAAUACGGAGGGUGCGAGCGUUAUCCGGAUUCACUGGGUUUAAAGGGUGCGUAGGUGGGAAUGUAAGUCAGUGGUGAAAUCUCCGGGCUUAACCUGGAAACUGCCAUUGAUACUAUGUUUCUUGAAUUUUCUGGAGGAUAGCGGAAUAUGUCAUGUAGCGGUGAAAUGCUUAGAUAUGACAUAGAACACCGAUUGCGAAGGCAGCUAUCUACAGGGAUAUUGACACUGAUGCACGAAAGCGUGGGGAUCAAACAGGAUUAGAAACCCCAGUAGUCC
rnacentral:rRNA from 1 species